rnacentral:rRNA from 1 species
AUGAACAAAUGGUCUGAUAAGUCAUUUGGAGAUCUACUUAAUAUUCUGCACAUGGCUAUUCCAAAUGGAAAAGCUCUGCCCCAAAAUUUUUACGAGGCCAAGAAGAUCAUAUCGAAGUUUGGAUUAGGAUAUCAGAAAAUUCAUGUCUGCCCAAAUAACUGUCAGUUGUUCUGGAAAGAGACAGAAAAUGAUGAUUUUUGCUCUAAAUGCAAGGCUUCUAGGUGGAAAGAUAAAAUGCCCGAAACCAAGUUAACUAAAAAGGAAAGAAAGAGAGCUACGCCAAUGAAAGUUCUGAGAUACUUUCCAAUCAAAGAGUGGCUGAAAAGGAUAUUCAUGUGCAAAGAAACAGCAACUCUAGCUCGAUGGCAUGAUGAAGGGCGCACCAAGCAGCAUGGAGUGAUACGGCAUCCAGCAGAUUCCGAGGCAUGGAAGAAAUUUGAUGAGAAGCAUGGAUUUGCAGAUGAUUGUCGUAAUAUUCGGUUUGCCAUAGCAACAGAUGGAUUUAAUCCAUAUGGGAUGCUGAGCAAUAAAUAUAGUUGUUGGCCAGUUGUGCUAGUCAUGUAUAACCUGCCUCCAUGGCUAUGCAUGAAGAAAUCUUAUCUUUCAUUGUCUUUGAUUAUUCCUGGACCUAAGAGCCCUGGUGAUAAGAUUCAUGUUUUUAUGCAACCUCUUUUAGAAGAUCUAAGAGAUCUUUUUGUGAAUGGGAUGACAACCUAUGAUGCAUCCGAACAGAAAACAUUUAAACUCAGAGCGGCUGUCUUGUGGACCAUAAAUGACUUCCCAGCAUUAGGAAUGCUUGCUUCAUAUAUGGUGCAUGGAGAUUAUGCAUGUCCACCUUGUGGUGCAAAUGUAUGGACCAAGCGCUUGAAGUAUGGCAAGAAAGCUUGUUUUAUGGGUCACCGCCGACUUUUGCCACCUGAUCAUGAAUUUCGUAAUGAUGCUUCUGCUUUUGAUGGAACAACUGAGAAUAGAACAGAGCCUAUAACCUAUUAUGGUCGUUCCGUAUUAGAUGACAUAGCUGCAUGUGGAGAUUUUAGUACCUCAAAAACUUACAAAGGAAAAAGUAGUCUAUUCACAUUACCAUAUUGGGACAGUAAUCUACUUCGACAUAAUCUGGAUGUGAUGCAUAUAGAGAAGAAUGUGUGUGAUAAUAUUUUUGGCACACUUCUCAAUUUGGAUGGGAAGUCAAAAGAUAAUGUACAGGCUCGUCAAGAUCUUGAAGAUAUGAAUAUUAGAGGGGAGCUCCAUCCACAAAAAAAACCUUCAGGCAAGUAUUACUUGCCACCAGCUAUCUUUACCAUGUCUAAGGAAGAAAAGCAAUUAUUCUGCAAAGUUAUUCAUGGUAUAAAAGUUCCUGAUGGAUAUUGUGGAAAUAUAUCGAAGUGUGUGAAUUUUACUGAAGGAAAAAUUAGUGGCCUCAAAACACAUGAUUGUCAUGUCCUAUUACAUCAAUUUCUGCCAAUUGCUGCGAGAGGUAUUCUUCCAGAUGAUGUUACAGCAGUAUUAUUUGAACUGUCAUCAUAUUUUCGAGGCAUAUGUUCAAAAGUUCUUCAUGUUGAUGAGCUUGACUGUUUGGAAGAAAGAAUCAAACUUACACUCUGCAAAAUGGAGAUGAUAUUUCCUCCUGGUUUUUUCACUGUUAUGGUGCACUUAGUUGUCCAUUUAGCAAGUGAAUGUAAAAUAGCAGGACCAGUUACAUAUCGGUGGAUGUACUUCAUAGAAAGGUAUCUUGGUGAGCUAAAGUCCUUUGUUCGGAACAAAGCACGUCCAGAGGGUUCAAUUGCAGAAUCAUUUUUAUCGGAUGAGUGCAUGACAUUUUGUUCAAGAUAUCUACAGGGUUUCUCCACCAAGCAUAACCAACCAUCAAGGAAUGAUGACAACCCAGAGGACUCUGGAUCGUCAAUAUUUUCACAACAAUCUAUGUUGUUUCCUCCAGUAGGGAAACCAUUGGGAAGACCAAUGGCAUACACUUUAACGGAUAAGGAGGCAACACAGGCCCACAGAUAUGUGUUGUUCAACUGUGAUGCUGUGAAGCCAUAUUUGGAAGAACAUGGGGCUUAUUUGAGAAGGAAGAAUCGCAAGAAGCGCAUAGAUGCAAGGACCUUUGAGAAGAUGCAGCAUGAACAAUUUCCUGAAUGGCUCAAGGAUCAUGUGAUGCAGUUGGAGAGGGAGAAAGGUAGUGACAACAUCAGUGAGGAAAUUAGAUGGUUGGCCCGUGGUCCACUUGAGGUUGCAACGAAACAUAGAGCAUUCAAUAUUCAAGGAUACAGAUUUAGGCCGAAGCGUUACGACAAAGUAACUCAAAAUAGUGGAGUUGUUGUUACAGCAAAAACGUCAAGCUACUCUUCUGCACGUGAUAAAAAUCCUAUUCUUGGAAAUGUCAUGUAUUUUGGUAGGAUUGUGGACAUAAUUGAGUUAGACUAUUUCCGAAAAUUUUCGGUGGUGCUAUUUAAAUGUGAAUGGGUUGAUGCUACCGAAGGAAAAGGUAUGCAAAUAGAUAAGUAUGGGUGUAGACUUGUGAAUUUCUCUAGUCUAACUCACACUGGUAAAAAGGCAGAGGAUGAACCUUUUGUAUUUGCCAAUCAAGUUGACCAAGUAUUCUACGUGGAUGACCAUCUUUAUCCAGGAUGGUUAAUUGUUUUGAAGAUGAUGCCUCGAGAUAAUUUUGAUAUGGGUGAAGAAUGGAAUGAUGUGGAAACAGAACCUUAUCAUGUCAGUAAAUUCUUUCUGCUUUUUGAUACUGCCCAUCAGAAACAAAAUUGGAUGAGAAGGGAUAUAGAGGGAGAAACUGUAGAUGCUCCUAUAGUGUCAAGUGAUGACACAGUACCUGAAUAA